AACGCACAUUGCGCCCCUCGGUAUUCCGUGGGGCAUGCCUGUUCGAGCGUCAUUUAACCCUCAAGCCUAGCUUGGUAUUGGGUGCUUGUCCCGCCUCCGCGCGGUCGACUCACCUCAAAGUCAUUGGCAGCCCGCAUCCGCCGGCCGUGAGCGCAGCACAGACGCGCCCGUGGUCCCGGCGGUUCGGCUCUCCAGAAGCUUGUUUUAACCCCAAUUGACCUCGGAUCAGGUAGGGAUACCCGCUGAACUUAA
rnacentral:misc_RNA from 1 species